rnacentral:tRNA from 3 species
GGUACGGUAGCUCAGUCGGUAGAGCAAUGGACUGAAAAUCCAUGUGUCGCCGGUUCGAUCCCGGCCCAUACCACCA